AGGGUAAUUUGGAAAAUAUGAAAAAAUUAGAGGGAUACAAAAGUAAACAUAUAUUCCAUUCUUAUUCCUUUAUUUUCAUUCCCAACUCUCCCAUGAGAAUGAGAUUCUCAUUCUUUAUUCUCAAAUUGUGUGGGAUCCAUACAUUUUAUUUUCAUUCACAAAUUAUAUUUUGCCAACACAUUAAUUUCACGAAGUAAACACACCGUAAGUGUACGUUGAAAUAUUACUCAAAACAAGAGCCAUUAUUGCAUCCAAGUGUUACUUUACUAAGAGGUAAUACCGUUGUCCCCAUUCUGCAAAGCCACUUGGUGGAUUGUCAAUGUCACACCAAUCAAGUAAGUUGUGUGAAAAUUGCCAUAUGACUAAAGAACUGUCACUUCUUUAACAAGUGGGAUUGCAGCAUUUUUCAAACCAGACAAUUUGCUAAAUAAUUUGCUUCUGCAAGUAGAAAUAAUAGUGCAUGAUCAUCUAAAAGAAAGUAUUUGCCAAGCCCAGAAACUAAUUGGAUGCUUUUUUCGUAGACAAUCACAACUAUCUGCAAGUUGCGUUCUGGAUUGGUUAAUGGUUAUUGAAUGAACGUCGAAGACUCAACAUCAGCCUGUCAUGGUGCUUAACUAAUGGCAAAGCGACCCCAUUCCCUAAUCCUGCGGAAUUUUUUGUAAGUUGCAAUGAUAAUCAUCUAUUCUAUUUGUGAAGCCAAGCGACAACUUAUAGCAAGUUGCAUAAAUGGACACCAAAAAGCAUCAUGCAAAAACACAUACAUAAUGCUAUUAUUAUAAAGUACGUGCUACCUAGUUAAAAUCAAAUUGUGAUAAGAAAUGCUUUUAACUAUAAUAGUUCCAAUCUAGAUUGAUCAGCUUCGAUUAUAAUAGCAACAGCUUUCUCCUUGCAUCUGCUCAAUCAGAUAUUCUAGGUGAAAGGAGAUUGGAUUGAUGAAAAGUGGGGAUUGAAUUUGGACAUUUCAAUUGCACUUGUAAUUUAUACUGUGAAAAAUAAAGAAAAAACAAAUGAAAAUCCCAUCUCAAUUCUA
rnacentral:lncRNA from 1 species